AGGACUGUCCAACCUGAGAAU
rnacentral:miRNA from 5 species